AUGGCCGCCGCCGUUCCCUUUUCCGAUUUCGCCACCAAUCCCUCCAACCCCUACUAUCUCCACCCUAACGAAAAUCCCUCCCUUGUCCUCGUCAUUCCCCUUCUUGAUCAUAACAACUACAACUCAUGGUUAAGAGCCAUGAAAGUUUCCCUUAUCUCCAAAAAUAAACUUCGCUUCAUUGAUGGCACCUUUGCUCAACCCACCGCCGACACCACUCUUUUCGAUCCCUGA